rnacentral:rRNA from 1 species
UGCAGUCGAGCGGACAGAAGGGAGCUUGCUCCCGGAUGUUAGCGGCGGACGGGUGAGUAACACGUGGGUAACCUGCCUGUAAGACUGGGAUAACUCCGGGAAACCGGAGCUAAUACCGGAUAGUUCCUUGAACCGCAUGGUUCAAGGAUGAAAGACGGUUUCGGCUGUCACUUACAGAUGGACCCGCGGCGCAUUAGCUAGUUGGUGAGGUAACGGCUCACCAAGGCGACGAUGCGUAGCCGACCUGAGAGGGUGAUCGGCCACACUGGGACUGAGACACGGCCCAGACUCCUACGGGAGGCAGCAGUAGGGAAUCUUCCGCAAUGGACGAAAGUCUGACGGAGCAACGCCGCGUGAGUGAUGAAGGUUUUCGGAUCGUAAAGCUCUGUUGUUAGGGAAGAACAAGUGCAAGAGUAACUGCUUGCACCUUGACGGUACCUAACCAGAAAGCCACGGCUAACUACGUGCCAGCAGCCGCGGUAAUACGUAGGUGGCAAGCGUUGUCCGGAAUUAUUGGGCGUAAAGGGCUCGCAGGCGGUUUCUUAAGUCUGAUGUGAAAGCCCCCGGCUCAACCGGGGAGGGUCAUUGGAAACUGGGAAACUUGAGUGCAGAAGAGGAGAGUGGAAUUCCACGUGUAGCGGUGAAAUGCGUAGAGAUGUGGAGGAACACCAGUGGCGAAAGGCGACUCUCUGGUCUGUAACUGACGCUGAGGAGCGAAAGCGUGGGGAGCGAACAG